UUGGAUUGUAGUACAACUCCAUUAGCAUGAGAUUCAAACCCCCCUUCAAAACACGCAGACGCUUUAGGUUCUAAGAGUUUUGGGGUUUCGCAUCCUCCUUUUUUCCUCAUAUCUUCAAACACUACUGGAUCCAAUUUAUAUCUCGCUCUCUUUUUCUCUAAAUCUGAGACUUGGUGAUGGCGAUUGAGGAAUCAAAUGCUUUGAUCCGCUUGACGAGUGGAAUAGUGGCUCAGGUCGAUGGUGAUCGGUAGAGGCGGAGACCCCUUGGCUGUUUUGAGUUCAUUGAUUUCCUUAAUCGAUGUUGCUAGAAAGCUAGUCUCCUUCGCUAUUACGAGUUAUUCAUAGGUGAGCAUUUCCCUCAUUUCUUACUUUUAAUUAUUUCAUUCAUACGUUUAUUUCUUGAUUUAUUAAAUCCAGGUGUAGUUUAAUGUUUGAUUGUUGUAAUUUGUUAAAAUUAGCCUUUGUUGUUCGAUGAUUUGGAUUUUCUAUGUUCGUGUACUCUUAAGAAGUUUACUUCGGUCUCUUGUUUUUCUGCUUUUAAUGAUUACUGUCAGUUGAUUAUUGGUUUAUAUCUAAAUUGUUGGAUAUGGCAUAAAAAUAGUUUUCUUAAGUGACACUUUAUGUUGAAUCGGGCAUUUGGAAUAUUGACGACACCUCUAUUAGUUGCGAGAUUCUUAGGAAUAAUGAACAUAUGAGAAAAGGUUAUUUGAGAAUGAGAUGGAUUGCAACCCAUGUAUGAAUAAUAAAAAAUGAUACAAAGCAAGUGCACUGGCUAUAUGUGAAUUAUUGUAUAAUUGUUACUUUGAUCAUGAUUUGUUAAAUCCUUUUGUUGAAUCUUUAUUGGGGUCUGACUGUUCUAAUAAUUUGUAAUUUUGGCAAUUUGCAGGGCUACCAUAUGUCUUUUGAUUCCUUUUGCUCACAUAAUUUGUUAAUUUUGGGUGUGCAUUUGACGAGCGUGGGAAGACAUGGGUGUUGCGGUUGGAUAUUUUUUCGCCAUUGGACCUAAUCGCGUUUAUUUUUUACUAUAAAUUUUGUUGGACAUUUGAUUAGUUUUGUCAUGGCGCGGUCAUCACUUAUUCCCGGAUUUCCUUUCAUCCUUCCGAUGUUUAAUUGGAUAUGUUUUACCUCAAGAGGACGUUAUAAGAAAAUAAAAUCACAAUCAAUGUCGUUGCAGAAGUAAACAUUUAUGAUUUCAGUCUCUAGGAUUUUUCAUGUUUUAAUCGUUCACGAAACCAUAAAAACUAUAUGUGAAUUUCAUUCUUUUAAAUAACAAUUUUUGUUAGUUUAUUUUGCUCCAUCCUAAAGAUUGUCAAUGAGUCAAGCCUAACCUAUAGGAUCUCAUUUAACUUUUUGUUGGAAAUUUCAAAAAUCUAUAUCAAUUAGAUUUUGGGUGUUACGGUACUUAUAGCAUUCACAAUGGAUGUCUUAUAUUUAUGUUAGGGGGCUACUUAUAUUAUAAGCAAUGAUUGUGAGUGGAGGAGAGAGAAAAUAUUUGAGAAUUUUACUGUUCAUCUAUAAAUAUAUGAUAAACAAUAUUUACCCCUUAUACAUUUUUAAUUUUUUUUAAAGGUGGUUGUGAGUGGAGAAAAGAGAAAAUGUAAUCAUAAAUGUAUAAAAAAAUAUU
rnacentral:lncRNA from 1 species